UGGGGAAUAUUGGACAAUGGAGGAAACUCUGAUCCAGCAAUUCUGUGUGUGUGAAGAAGGUUUUAGGACUGUAAAACACUUUUAGUAGGGAAGAAAAAAAUGACGGUACCUGAAAAACAAGCCACGGCUAACUACGUGCCAGCAGCCGCGGUAAUACGUAGGUGGCGAGCGUUAUCCGGAUUUACUGGGUGUAAAGGGCGUGCAGGCGGGCUGAUAAGUCAGAUGUGAAAUCCCCGAGCUUAACUCGGGAACUGCAUCUGAUACUGUUGGUCUUGAGUGCUGGAGAGGAUAGUGGAAUUCCUAGUGUAGCGGUAAAAUGCGCAGAUAUUAGGAGGAACACCAGUGGCGAAGGCGGCUAUCUGGACAGUAACUGACGCUGAGGCGCGAAAGCGUGGGUAGCAAACAGG
rnacentral:rRNA from 1 species